rnacentral:ncRNA from 1 species
AGAGUAAAUGCUGUGGCGUCAAGUGCCGACGGGACGGGGAGUUGCCGGUCGGACGAAGGAGAAAUCCGCGGUCACGGUGUUGCAUCCCGCU